GCCCGGAUGGUCUAGUGGUACGUUCCAAUUAAGUACCCUGUAACCAUCUUCCCUGCUAACUCAUCUUAGGUAUGAUUCUCCGUUUGGGUUCACAUCUCAAAUUCGGAGAGGCCGCGUGUUCGAAUCGCGCUUCGGGCC
rnacentral:tRNA from 1 species